UUUUAUGAGAGUUUGAUCCUGGCUCAGGACGAACGCUGGCGGCGUGCCUAAUACAUGCAAGUCGUACGCUUCUUUUUCCACCGGAGCUUGCUCCACCGGAAAAAGAAGAGUGGCGAACGGGUGAGUAACACGUGGGUAACCUGCCCAUCAGAAGGGGAUAACACUUGGAAACAGGUGCUAAUACCGUAUAACAAUCGAAACCGCAUGGUUUUGAUUUG
rnacentral:rRNA from 1 species